GCAGUAGUCGAUUACGUAGGCUUUCCAGAUGUAGACAGAAAAGGCCCAGCACAUCAGCAACAUCAGCAGGUCAAAGGUCAGAUGGAAGGAUCAGGGAGUCAGUGCCAGUGAAGUCCCAAGCUCAAAAUCCCAAAAAAUCUAGUUCGAGGCCUCCAACCGCACUCAGACUAGAACUAAACCAGAAAAUGAGAGGCCAUAUCCUGAAUAGAAAGGGAAGACAGCAGACACAGAGAGGUAACCAGCAGAAAAUGGGAGAAGCUGAGGUUUCUGGACUGGAAAACCAACACAGCCACAACCAAUACAGCUAUUCUAGAAGAAAUGCAGUUGUAGUGCCAAUGCAGGAUACCAAACAAAGAGAUUCGGUCAGACACCCAGCCCAGAGACCCUCAGGGCAUGAUGGGUCACCAAAGGUCUCAUCAUCAGAGGGAUUAAAAAGGGAGACAAGAACUAGUCAAACUGGCACUUGUAUAACAGUUGAACUUGUGCAUCCUACACCUGUAGAGGUACUGAAUGACAGCUUAGAGACCCAAACAGGUAUCAAAGUUCAGAGAUCGUAUUCUAGGAAGAACAGGCUC